GACGAACGCUGGCGGCGUGCUUAACACAUGCAAGUCGAACGGUAAGGCUCCAGCUUGCUGGGGUACACGAGUGGCGAACGGGUGAGUAACACGUGGGUGACCUGCCCUGCACUUCGGGAUAAGCCUGGGAAACUGGGUCUAAUACCGGAUAGGACCAUGGUGUGGAUACUGUGGUGGAAAGUUUUUUCGGUGUGGGAUGGGCCCGCGGCCUAUCAGCUUGUUGGUGGGGUAAUGGCCUACCAAGGCGGCGACGGGUAGCCGGCCUGAGAGGGUGGACGGCCAAAUGGGAAUUGAGACACGGCCCAGACUCCCACGGGAGGCAGGAGUGGGGAAUAUUGCCCAAGGGGCGGAAGCCUAAUGCAGCGACGCCGGGUGGGGGAUGACGGCCUUCGGGUGGAAACCUCCUUUCCCCAUCGACGAAGGGUUUCGGGCGGGAGAUGGAGAAGAAGCCCCGGCUAACCACGU
rnacentral:rRNA from 1 species